ensembl:lncRNA
GUGGAUUACUUCUAUUUUUCAAGGACAGUGGAUUAGAGGCAGCCAUGUAGGGAAAGAGAUGGAGAAUCGGACUGGGACAUGACCCAGUGAGUGGCUGGUCUGAUCCAUAUCUGAAGUAAUGACCCCCUCAUUUCUCUCGGCACCUACCCCCCAGGAAGGUCCUGCUAUUGUGCCAGUGUGUUAUUGACUCGUCUAAGAAAAUCAGCAAACACAGAGUAAUUGGAGGAGCUGGAGGUUCCCCUCAAGCGCCCUCCUCCUUUGACAAGCCAAACAUAAAUAAAAGAGGAGGAAAGUGAUGAGAGGGGCCUGGAGCCACACCAGAUGAGGAAAAGCCACAAAGGCGGG